rnacentral:sRNA from 1 species
UGACGGUAGUGUGCGGCGCAGUCUCAAC